rnacentral:siRNA from 1 species
AUAAGAGAUGGAACACUGGAUAUG